rnacentral:rRNA from 1 species
AACGAACGCUGGCGGCAGGCCUCAAACAUGCAAGUCUAGGGGUGUAGCAAUACAUCACCGGCGGACGGGUGCGUAACGCGUGGGAAUAUACCUAUCGAUUCGGAACAACUGAGGGAAACUUCAGCUAAUACCGAAUACGUCCUAACGGAGAAAGAUUUAUCGUCGAUAGAUUAGCCCGCGUUCGAUUAGCUAGUUGGUGGGGUAACGGCCCACCAAGGCGACGAUCGAUAGCUGUUCUGAGAGGAAGAUCAGCCACACUGGGACUGAGACACGGCCCAGACUCCUACGGGAGGCAGCAGUUGGGAAUCUUGGACAAUGGGGGAAACCCUGAUCCAGCCAUGCCGCGUGAGUGAUGAAGGCCUUAGGGUUGUAAAGAUCUUUCAGUGGGGAAGAUAAUGACGGUGCCCACAGAAGAAGCCCCGGCUAACUCCGUGCCAGCAGCCGCGGUAAU